rnacentral:rRNA from 1 species
GAUGAACGCUGGCGGCGUGCCUAAUACAUGCAAGUCGAGCGAACAGACGAGGAGCUUGCUCCUCUGACGUUAGCGGCGGACGGGUGAGUAACACGUGGAUAACCUACCUAUAAGACUGGGAUAACUUCGGGAAACCGGAGCUAAUACCGGAUAAUAUAUUGAACCGCAUGGUUCAAUAGUGAAAGACGGUUUUGCUGUCACUUAUAGAUGGAUCCGCGCCGCAUUAGCUAGUUGGUAAGUUAACGGCUUACCAAGGCAACGAUGCGUAGCCGACCUGAGAGGGUGAUCGGCCACACUGGAACUGAGACACGGUCCAGACUCCUACGGGAGGCAGCAGUAGGGAAUCUUCCGCAAUGGGCGAAAGCCUGACGGAGCAACGCCGCGUGAGUGAUGAAGGUCUUCGGAUCGUAAAACUCUGUUAUUAGGGAUGAACAAAUGUGUAAGUAACUAUGCACGUCUUGACGGUACCUAAUCAGAAAGCCACGGCUAACUACGUG